rnacentral:misc_RNA from 1 species
GAGUUUCUGGUAUAUAUUUCGAACUUCUUAUAGCCCCUCACACCAAUCAAGCACAAUACAUCGGGGCCUGAGAAGGCUUGUAAAGGAAUGCUCUGACAUGACGGGAAUACCCAGACGGGAGAUCGUAUGUGAACUUGACACCAGAGUGGGCAUCCCCUCGCCGACUACAAUGCUCAUGGAAGCUGCUGAUAGGCCUCGCCAGGCACGAAUCCCAUCGGUCGCCCUCUGGCAUCGUCUCGGCCACCGUGUAGACACCUCUGGAGUUUGUGAAUGCUUGAUAGUUGAGAACCUCGCCAGAUUUAGUUAUACAGAGAACAGCCACUUCAGCACCUUCUAAUGGGUGAUCCUCGGGGCCGAUGGAGGAAUCCCCACACACAUCGCAGACGAUCUUGCCACGGAUCUCGCCGGUCCAGGCCUCUGCUGCGCAGAUGAGGGACAGCAGCAGCAGUAGCCCACAGAUCGCCCUGCCGCCGAUGA